CGGGAUCAGUGGAAACUGAAUGGUGGAAUUGCCUGGAUGGGAGAAGUAGAAACACAAUAGGAUGGAUUCAGUUUGUAUCUUUAAGUGGCCUUUAAAAUAAAGCAAGUUGGGUGGUAUGACAUUAUUAGAAGGACAGGCAGAUGGUGUCACUAAUUUGGAUUGUUUCCCAAAUGGUGCCUCUUGGCUCUGCUUCUUGGAUUUUGGAUGGUGUUCUGUGUGUCUUGGCUGGCCAGCAGCGUCUUCAGG
rnacentral:lncRNA from 1 species